GAUGAAGAACGCAGCGAAAUGCGAUAAGUAAUGUGAAUUGCAGAAUUCAGUGAAUCAUCGAAUCUUUGAACGCACAUUGCGCCCCUUGGUAUUCCGGGGGGCAUGCCUGUUCGAGCGUCAUUUCACCACUCAAGCCUCGCUUGGUAUUGGGCAACGCGGUCCGCCGCGUGCCUCAAAUCGACCGGCUGGGUCUUCUGUCCCCUAAGCGUUGUGGAAACUUUCGCUAAAGGGUGUUCGGGAGGCUACGCCGUAAAACAACCCCAUUUCUAAGGUUGACCUCGGAUCAGGUAGGGAUACCCGCUGAACUUAAGCAUAUCAAUAAGCGGAGGA
rnacentral:misc_RNA from 1 species